rnacentral:rRNA from 1 species
AGGGUUUGAUCAUGGCUCAGAACGUACGCUGGCGGCACGCCUAACACAUGCAAGUCGAACGAAGUAGCAAUACUUAGUGGCAGACGGGUGAGUAACAUGUAGGUAUCUUCCCUUUGGCCUGGAAUAACACGAGGAAACUUGUGCUAAUACUGGAUAAGUCUUUACGGAGAAAGCUUUAUGCACCAUUGGAUGAGCCUGCACUUGAUUAGUUUGUUGGUAGGGUAAUGGCCUACCAAGACUGUGAUCAAUAGCUGAUUUGAGAGGAUGAUCAGCCACAUUGGGACUGAGACACGGCCCAAACUCCUACGGGAGGCAGCAGUGGGGAAUCUUGCACAAUGGAGGAAACUCUGAUGCAGCGAUGCCGCGUGAGUGAAGAAGGCCCUUGGGUUGUAAAGCUCUUUCGUCGGGGAAGAAAAUGACUGUACCCGAAUAAGAAGGUCCGGCUAACUUCGUGCCAGCAGCCGCGGUAAUACGAAGGGACCUAGCGUAGUUCGGAAUUACUGGGCUUAAAGAGUUCGUAGGUGGUUGAAAUAGUUGGUGGUGAAAUCCCAGAGCUUAACUCUGGAACUGCCAUCAAAACUUUUCAGCUAGAGUUUGAUAGAGGAAAGCAGAAUUUCUAGUGUAGAGGUGAAAUUCGUAGAUAUUAGAAAGAAUACCAAUUGCGAAGGCAGCUUUCUGGAUCAUUACUGACACUGAGGAACGAAAGCAUGGGUAGCGAAGAGGAUUAGAUACCCUCGUAGUCCAUGCCGUAAACGAUGUGUGUUAGACGUUGGAAAUUUAUUUUCAGUGUCGCAGCGAAAGCGAUAAACACACCGCCUGGGGAGUACGACCGCAAGGUUAAAACUCAAAUGAAUUGACGGGGACCCGCACAAGUAGUGGAGCAUGUGGUUUAAUUCGAAGAUACGCGCAGAACCUUACCAACACUUGACAUGUUCGUCGCGACUUUAAGAGAUUAAAGUUUUCGGUUCGGCCGGACGAAACACAGGUGCUGCAUGGCUGUCGUCAGCUCGUGUCGUGAGAUGUUGGGUUAAGUCCCGCAACGAGCGCAACCCUCACUUUUAGUUGCCAUCAUUUAGUUGGGCACUCUGAAAGAACUGCCAGUGAUAAGCUGGAGGAAGGUGGGGAUGACGUCAAGUCCUCAUGGCCCUUACGUGUUGGGCUACACACGUGCUACAAUGGUAUUUACAACAGGAAGCAAGACGGCGACGUUAAGCAAAUCCUUAAAAAAUACCUCAGUUCGGAUUGCACUCUGCAACUCGAGUGCAUGAAGCUGGAAUUACUAGUAAUCGUGGAUCAGCGUGCCACGGUGAAUGCGUUCCCGGGUCUUGUACACACCGCCCGUCACACCAUGGGAGUUGGUUCUACCUUAAGGCAAGGUUUAAAACCCUUGACUACGGUAUAGUCAGCGACUGGGGUGAAGUCAUAACAAGGUAGCCGUA